UACUCCUACGGGAGGCAGCAGUGGGGAAUAUUGCACAAUGGGCGGAAGCCUGAUGCAGCAACGCCGCGUGAGGGAUGACGGCCUUCGGGUUGUAAACCUCUUUCAGUAGGGAAGAAGCGAAAGUGACGGUACCUGCAGAAGAAGCGCCGGCUAACUACGUGCCAGCAGCCGCGGUAAU
rnacentral:rRNA from 1 species